UACAGAGGGUGCGAGCGUUAAUCGGAAUUACUGGGCGUAAAGCGCACGUAGUCGGCUUUGCAAGUCGGGUGUGAAAUCCCCGGGCUCAACCUGGGAACUGCAUCCGAGACUGCAUUGCUAGAGUAUGGGAGAGGGAAGCGGAAUUUCUGGUGUAGCAGUGAAAUGCGUAGAUAUCGGGAGGAACACCGGUGGCGAAGGCGGCGACCUGGGUAGAUACUGACGCUGAGGCGCGAAAGCGUGGGGAGCAAACAGG
rnacentral:rRNA from 1 species